UGCAGUCGAACGGCAGCACGGACUUCGGUCUGGUGGCGAGUGGCGAACGGGUGAGUAAUGUAUCGGAACGUGCCUAGUAGCGGGGGAUAACUACGCGAAAGCGUAGCUAAUACCGCAUACGCCCUACGGGGGAAAGCAGGGGAUCGCAAGACCUUGCACUAUUAGAGCGGCCGAUAUCGGAUUAGCUAGUUGGUGGGGUAACGGCUCACCAAGGCGACGAUCCGUAGCUGGUUUGAGAGGACGACCAGCCACACUGGGACUGAGACACGGCCCAGACUCCUACGGGAGGCAGCAGUGGGGAAUUUUGGACAAUGGGGGAAACCCUGAUCCAGCCAUCCCGCGUGUGCGAUGAAGGCCUUCGGGUUGUAAAGCACUUUUGGCAGGAAAGAAACGUCAUGGGCUAAUACCCCGUGAAACUGACGGUACCUGCAGAAUAAGCACCGGCUAACUACGUGCCAGCAGCCGCGGUAAUACGUAGGGUGCAAGCGUUAAUCGGAAUUACUGGGCGUAAAGCGUGCGCAGGCGGUUCGGAAAGAAAGAUGUGAAAUCCCAGAGCUUAACUUUGGAACUGCAUUUUUAACUACCGAGCUAGAGUGUGUCAGAGGGAGGUGGAAUUCCGCGUGUAGCAGUGAAAUGCGUAGAUAUGCGGAGGAACACCGAUGGCGAAGGCAGCCUCCUGGGAUAACACUGACGCUCAUGCACGAAAGCGUGGGGAGCAAACAGGAUUAAUACCCUG
rnacentral:rRNA from 1 species